UACAGCCACCAAAGCAGACCAUUGGUCCC
rnacentral:piRNA from 1 species